AUUGAACGCUGGCGGCAUGCCUAACACAUGCAAGUCGAACGGCAGCACAGAUAUAGUUUACUAUAUUGGGUGGCGAGUGGCGGACGGGUGAGUAACGCGUGGGUAUAUAACCUAAAGACGGGGACAACUUGCGGAAACGCGAGCUAAUACCGGAUAAGCUCUGAGGAGAAAAGCUGGGGGAUCUGGCGACAGACCUGGCGCUUUAGGAGUAACCUGCGUCCAAUUAGCUAGUUGGUAGGGUAAAGGCCUACCAAGGCGACGAUUGGUAGCUGGUCUGAGAGGACGGACAGCCACACUGGGACUGAGACACGGCCCAGACUCCUACGGGAGGCAGCAGUGGGGAAUAUUGGACAAUGGGCGAAAGCCUGAUCCAGCAAUGCCGCGUGUGUGAAGAAGGCCUGAGGGUUGUAAAGGCAACUUUCGGCCGGGAAGAAAUCGUGGUCUCUAACAUAGGCCAUGGAUGACGUACCGGACUAAGAAGCACCGGCUAACUACGUG
rnacentral:rRNA from 1 species